AUGAGAGUUUGUGGAGAGGGUAGCACUAGCACAAAUACCAGAACUGAAUUAGACAAGUACCGAGCUGAGGACACAGAAGAGUUGACUGCUGAAUUUGACCUUAUUGAAUGGUGGAAGUGCAAUGCUCCUUGCUUUCCUGUCCUUUCAAAAAUGGCUCGUGAUAUACUAGCAAUCCCCAUCUCUACGGUUGCUUCUGAGUCAGCUUUCAGCACUAGUGGUCGUAUUCUCGAUGACUUUAGAAGCUCUUUAACACCAGCGACACUGCAGUCGUUGAUAUGCACACAAGAUUGGUUGCGUUCUAAGUGUAUCAAUGUUGAAGCUGAUCUUGCUGAGUUGACCAGGCUGGAGGAAGAAGUGGGUGCCAUUCAUUUAAAUGAUAAUGUGACAAUAUCGAUUGAUUGA
rnacentral:rRNA from 1 species